CUGCUGUUAUCACUGUCCAAAAAACGGCCCGAUGACUUCCUUGUUCUAUGAACUUUAAAAUUUUACAGGUAUUAUUUAUGCUCUAACAGCAACAUUACACACUAACUAAAGUUUGAAAAAUGGAAUCGCGAAGAACGGGACCUUUAAAGUGCAAUUUGUACAGAGUAAAAUACAUUUGUACUUUGAACUUACAACAAUUGAAAUGUCAUGACAUUCGUGGGACAAAUCAGUGCUAA